rnacentral:rRNA from 1 species
CCUACGGGAGGCAGCAGUGGGGAAUCUUGCGCAAUGGGCGAAAGCCUGACGUAGCAACGCCGCGUGAGGGACGAAGGUUUUCUGAAUUGUAAACCUCUUUCAGCAGGGAAGAUAAUGACGGUACCUGCAGAAGAAGCACCGGCUAACUACGUGCCAGCAGCCGCGGUGAUACGUAGGGUGCAAGCGUUGUCCGGAUUUAUUGGGCGUAAAGAGCUCGUAGGCGGUUUGGUAAGUCGGUUGUGAAAUCCCCAGGCUCAACCUGGGGCCUGCAUUCGAUACUGCCAUGACUAGAGUUUGGCAGGGGACCACGGAAUUCCUGGUGUAGCGGUGGAAUGCGCAGAUAUCAGGAGGAACACCAGUAGCGAAGGCGGUGGUCUGGGCCAAUACUGACGCUGAGGAGCGAAAGCGUGGGGAGCAAACAGGAUUAGAUACCCUGGUAGUCCACGCCGUAAACGGUGGGCACUAGGUGUGGGGACUAUUCAACGGUUUCCGCGCCGACGCUAACGCAUUAAGUGCCCCGCCUGGGGAGUACGGCCGCAAGGCUAAAACUCAAAGGAAUUGACGGCNGAGAGNGCGAGCGACGACGAGGAGAG